rnacentral:rRNA from 1 species
GAUGAACGCUGGCGGCGUGCCUAAUACAUGCAAGUCGAGCGAACAGACGCGGAGCUUGCUCCUCUGACGUUAGCCGCGGGCGGGUGAGUAACACGUGGAUAACCUACCUAUAAGACUGGGAUAACUUCGGGAAACCGGAGCUAAUACCGGAGAAUAUAUUGCACCGCAUGGUUCAAUAGUGAGAGACGGUGUUGCUGUCACUUAUAGAUGGUUCCGCGCCGCAUUAGCUAGUUGGUAAGGUAACGGCUUACGAAGGCAACGAUGCGUAGCCGAACUGAGAGGGGGAUCGGCCACACGGGAACUGAGACACGGACCAGACUACUACGGGAGGGAGCAGUAGGGAAUCGGCCGCAAUGGGCGAAAGCCUGACGGAGCAACGCGGAGUGAGUUAUGAAGGUGUUCGGAUCGUAAAACUCUGUUAUGAGGGAAGAACCAAUGUGUAAGUAACUGUGCACGUAUUGACGGUACCUAAUAAGAAAGCAACGGCUAACUACGUG